rnacentral:rRNA from 1 species
UGGGGGAUAUUGCACAAUGGGCGAAAGCCUGAUGCAGCGACGCCGCGUGGGGGAUGAAGGCUUUCGGGUUGUAAACCUCUUUCGCUAUCGAACAAGGCCCGCUUAGGGUGGGUUGAGGGUAGGUGGAGAAGAAGCGCCGGCUAACUACGUGCCAGCAGCCGCGGUAGUACGUAGGGCGUGAGCGUUGUCCGGAAUUAUUGGGCGUAAAGGGCUUGUAGGCGGCUUGUUGCGCCUGCUGUGAAAACGCGGGGCUUAACUUCGCGCGUGCAGGGGGUACGGGCAGGCUUGAGUGUGGUAGGGGUGACUGGAAUUCCAGGUGUAGCGGUGGAAUGCGCAGAUAUCUGGAGGAACACCGAUAGCGAAGGCAGGUCACUGGGCCAUUACUGACGCUGAGGAGCGAAAGCAUGGGUAGCGAACAGG